AUUUGGAGGAAGAGAGGAGAACAAAAGGACGGAUGGAGGAGUGGAGGACUCCUCAGCAGGGAGGUGAUGGACAGGACAGGUCCCCCUCGCCGGGAGACACACUGAAAUACCCCGGCUGGCCCCGGGGCUCGUCCCCGGCUCUGAUGCUGGGGGGGAGUUUCUGACGAGUCAGGGGCACGAGAUCCAUGGACUGUGGGAUGAUGAGAUCAAACAACACAGUCAGGGGCCAGAAGAGCCAGGAGGACGAUCAGCUGACCCAGGAGGACCAUCAGCUGACCCAGGAUGACGAUCAGCUGACCCAGGAGGAAGAUCAGCUGACCCAGGAGGACCAUCAGCUGACCCAGGAGGAAGAUCAGCUGACC